GGGAGAUUCGACUGCUCAGAGGGGAAGCGUGGAAUGGUGCGGUCCUCUCCAGGGAGAUUUCACUGUGGGAGAGAGGGACAAAAUCUGGGGGCUGAACAAUCAUUGUGUACUGUAAUUAUGCCAAUAACAACGGGUUUGAGAGGACGGUGAAAAUGACAUCAACUUCCUCAGCAACUUAAUUAUCUUACAUUGGAAUCAGAGACUCAUAUCACCAUGGAAACUCAGAAUCACAGAACCAUAGAAUCUUUGCUGCUAAGAGCACCCACAGAGUACAAUUUCUCUUCGUAACUUGAAGUUGUAAAGGAUCCUUGCCUGAAAAUGGAGACUGUUAACUCAUUUUAUCUCUUGAUUAGAAAUACAGAGGAAUUUGUUGUCACACAAAGGAUAAGCAUGCUGAAAUUUGUUGAUCACUGGUAUUUAAAGUGAAAUAAUUGUUAUAUGUUGCUGAUUAAUUUUUCCUUUUAUCACUAGUAAUUUUUUGCCAUAAAGUCUAUUUCAUAUGUAUAAUUAUAGUAAAACUAGUUUUCUUUUGAUCAGUGUCAGAAUAAUAUGUGUUGUUAUAUUUGGCAUGUAUUUGGUGUAAACAUUAUUUUAAAAAUUCAUUCUAAAAAUCUUUGCCUUUUUCCACAUUCGCUUAGUGAAAUUCUAAUAUAUUUGGUUUGAAAUCUACAUUUUUAAUGUUUGUUCUUUAUUUCUUGGUCCUGUUGUGUGUUCCUUUUCCACCUUAUUUGAAUUGACUGGAUUUUAAAAAAUUAAUUCCAUUGUUCUCUAUUGGCUUUUUAAUUUUACAUUCUACUGAUUUUUAGUUAUUUCUCUAGAAACUGUAAUAUCCAUACUUAAUCUACACAACUCUAAUAAAAAUUAGUACUUUUAUUAUUGCUAUUUUAUACAAACAAUACUCAUUUAGCUUCAUCUACAGCUUUACUCUUUGAUUUUUAUUUUUUCCUAUAUCUCAAAGUUUCUUUCUCAGAUCAUUUUCCUUCUGCUUCAAGAGUUUUUUUUAAAUAUUAACUGACUUAGAAUAAAAAACAUAUAAUUAAAUUGUACAGUUUAAUGAGUUUUGAAACAUGUAUAUACUUGUGACAUAAUCACCACAAUCAAGAUAAUAAACAUAUCCAUAACCUCCCUUUAUAAUCCUUCUUUUCACUCUAUCCCAAAUGUAUUCCCAGGAAGUCAUUGAUGUACUUUCUGUCACUAUCAGUGUUUUGCAUUUUCUGGAAUUUCCAUAAAUGGAACUGUACAGUACGUAUUUUUGGCUUGUUUCUUUCACUUAGCAUAAUCAUUUUUAGCUUCUUUGUUGUGUAUCUAUUUUGUUUAUUUACCUGUUGAUAAAUAUUCGGAUUGUUUCCAAUUUGGAGCUAUUACAAAUAAAGCUGCUGUGAAAACUGA